ACGAACGCUGGCGGCGUGCUUCACCCAUGCAAGUCGAACGGUGAAGCGCCUUCCUUUUUGGUGGGUGUGGAUGAGUGGCGAACGGGUGAGUAACACGUGAGUAACCUGCCCCCUUCUUCUGGAUAACCGCAUGAAAGUGUGGCUAAUACGGGAUAUUCUGGGUCUGUCGCAUGAUGGGUCUGGGAAAGAUAUUGUUUCGGUGGGGGAUGGGCUCGCGGCCUAUCAGCUUGUUGGUGGGGUGAUGGCCUACCAAGGCGGUGACGGGUAGCCGGCCUGAGAGGGUGGACGGUCACACUGGGACUGAGACACGGCCCAGACUCCUACGGGAGGCAGCAGUGGGGAAUAUUGCACAAUGGGCGCAAGCCUGAUGCAGCGACGCCGCGUGAGGGAUGGAGGCCUUCGGGUUGUGAACCUCUUUCGCCAGUGAAGCAGGCCUGCCUCGUUUGUGGGUGGGUUGACGGUAGCUGGAUAAGAAGCGCCGGCUAACUACGUG
rnacentral:rRNA from 1 species